rnacentral:rRNA from 1 species
GAUGAACGCUGGCGGCGUGCUUAACACAUGCAAGUCGAACGGAAAGGCUCCUGCUUGCAGGGGUACUCGAGUGGCGAACGGGUGAGUAACACGUGGGUGAUCUGCCCUGCACUUCGGGAUAAGCCUGGGAAACUGGGUCUAAUACCGGAUAGGACGAUGGUUUGGAUGCCAUUGUGGAAAGUUUUUCGGUGUGGGAUGAGCUCGCGGCCUAUCAGCUUGUUGGUGGGGUAAUGGCCUACCAAGGCGUCGACGGGUAGCCGGCCUGAGAGGGUGUACGGCCACAUUGGGACUGAGAUACGGCCCAGACUCCUACGGGAGGCAGCAGUGGGGAAUAUUGCACAAUGGGCGCAAGCCUGGUGCAGCGACGCCGCGUGGGGGAUGACGGCCUUCGGGUUGUAAACUCCUUUCGCUAGGGACGAAGCGCAAGUGACGGUACCUGGAGAAGAAGCACCGGCUAACUACGUG